rnacentral:lncRNA from 1 species
CUGGCAUUGAGGGGAUGUUCUGGAAGGAUUCCCAGAAAGUGGCCCUCCCAUUGACCUCAGAAGUCUGGAGCUGGCCACACCCAAGUCUCAAGCCCCAAGUCUCAAGCCCUAAGCCCUAGCCCCACUGAGGACAUCCACUCCAUCUUGGAGGCUGCAAGAAGCCAGUGUGAAGCAGUCCUAUCUUCAUAGCAGGGUCCAGCCCUGCUUGGAGAACUGAGCCAGUUUCCUUGGCUCCCUUCCUGGGGCCCCACCCUCUCUGCCACCACUCACACACACUAUGGCCACAUCCCCAAGGCCACAUGUGGACUGGGCUUUCUCUCCCUUCCCGAGCCCCUCUCAGAGGAACCCUAGCCAGGGCCAGCCUAAGCAAGCAGCUGUGGGUAGAUGACAUCCAAUUGCAAGUAUUUCUUUACCUGGGAUACCUGGGGCUCAGCUAGAAGAGCAGAGGCGAGCCAGCCCUGGAGCCAGCCAAGAUCGGGUCACUGCACUUCAGCCUGGGUGACAGAGCAAGACUCUGUCUCAAAAAAAAAAGAAAGGAGAAAGAAAGAGAGAGAGAGAGAGAAAGAAGGAAAGAAAAGAAAAGAAGAAAGAAAGAAAGAAGGAAGGAAAGAAAAAAAAGAAAGAAAAAGAAAGAAAGGGAAGGAAGGAAGGAAGGAAGGAAGGAAGGAAGGAAAGAAGGAAGGGAGAAAUAGGAAAUAGAACCCAAGUUUCUUUCUUUCUUUUCUUUAAGAGUAAAGUGAUAGCAAGUUUAUUAAGAAAGUAUAGGAAUAAAAGAAUGACAAAUCCAUAGGUAGAGCAGCCAAGAUUCUUAAGUCCCUGGUCAACGGUUUUUGUCAUUCUUCUACUGCCACCCUGGGACCUUAUUUUUUGAUGGCCAGACCUCCCUCUGAGCGACCACCUUCUCCCUUUUUUUAUGGAAUCCAGACAGGAUGUCAUUUAAGUACCUAUAUUGAGCCUCACACCCUGACUCCAAAUGCAAACUAAUAAGAAAAUAUAAAAGGAGAAAAGUUAAAAGACACAACCCCACUGAAACCAAGAUAAACAUCUUCAUGAACCAAAACCCAAGUAAAUAAAGCAUAAAAUGGGCAGCUGAAGCUUGAGCCUAUUUGGCAGCAGGUUCAGAAGGCAGAGAAUCUGUUUGAGUUUUGAUUUAACCUGAGGCAAUGGCUGAAAAAAAAUCUGCUACUGACCACUGCCACAGAGGACCAUUUGUCUGAAGCUCAUCCCAUAGAAAGAAUAGAGAGGUCAGAGGGAAAGGACAGUUUCUCCACCAACAUCUGGGCCAAGCUGCCCACUGAAUUAGUGACAGGGACAUCACCUCUCCACCAUAAGACCUUACCCUUUACUGUAAGACCAGCCUUUGGACUGGGCCUCCAAGGAUCUGGUUGAAGUAAUUGUAAAAUCACCCUCCAGGGAGGACUAAGGAUAGAGGGAAACAGAGAAAGAUAAGCCGUUCGAGAUGAGCCACAAACUGCAAUUCCAGAACAGUGAGAAAAACCAAACCUAAGCAAGAUGGCAAAAUAAAUCAGAAAUGUUU